rnacentral:rRNA from 1 species
GGGCCCGCACAAGCAGUGGAGCAUGUGGUUUAAUUCGAUGCAACGCGAAGAACCUUACCAGGCCUUGACAUCCUCGGAACUUUCUAGAGAUAGAUUGGUGCCUUCGGGAACCGAGUGACAGGUGCUGCAUGGCUGUCGUCAGCUCGUGUCGUGAGAUGUUGGGUUAAGUCCCGUAACGAGCGCAACCCUUGUCCUUAGUUGCCAGCACUUCGGGGUGGGAACUCUAAGGAGACUGCCGGUGACAAACCGGAGGAAGGUGGGGGACGACGUCAAGUCAUCAUGGCCCUUACGGCCUGGGCUACACACGUGCUACAAUGGCUAGGACAGACGGCCGCAAACCCCGCGAGGGG